AUGCGUGAUCAGGUCGGCGUCGACCUGGACGGCUUCUCCCCUCGACCACGAGUUCCCGAACGACUACGGCAAGAGGACGAGUGCGACAUCGACGUGGAUCCUUUGUUCGAGGACGAGCUCGCCAACCAAGCCGCCGAUGCUAAGCCCAAGCGCAAGAGUAAGCGUACGAAGGCAUACACGGCGGCCGAGGAUAAGCUUCUUUGCAAGUGUUGGUGAGACAUUGGACAAGACCCGAAGACGGGCGCCGAGCAAAAGCAUUCGACCUUUUGGACUCGUGUGCACCGAGAGUUCCAUGAGCGCAAGAAGUUUCCACCUUACCAAUUUGUGAGCACGCGCGGGUGGGUCUCCAUUUCCAAGCGGUGGAGGGUGAUCCAACAAGAGCGCAACAAGUUUUGCGCCACCCUUGAGAGCGUCAAGGCCCGCCCCGUGAGCGGCAUCGGCAUGCAAGACAUGGUAUGA
rnacentral:rRNA from 1 species